GGCCCCUGGGACACUUGUUUAUUGUUGGUCUCAUAGGUGAAAUCAGAAUGCAGUAGUAACUGUACAUAAUAAAUUCUUUCAGAGAGAAGAAAACUGACAUUAAAGGAGAACCAGUAAGAUGUAUGAUGAAUCAAGAUGUGAUCGUGUGGGUCCUGUUCUGUGGAUGCCAUGAGAUGAUCUGUCUGUUCAUCUGAUAUCACUUGUCCUGAGUAUAUUUUCUCUCCUCAUAGCCCAAUCUCACUCAAAUUUAACUCAUAGAGUGCCUGUGGAUGGAGGGUAAAAAGUGACCUUGGACUAAUUAUCUAGGUCAAAGAUCGCAGAUGAUGUGAAGAAAAUAAGGAAGCUGAUGUUGAAAGAAGUAUAGAGUAUUUAAUGAAGUUUAUGAAUGGACUUAUAUAAUUAGAUGUGAAAGACUACUUCAUUGUUUACCAAGA